CGCCUUUUGUAAUAUACACAUAAAAGGUCCUGCCUGCCCAAUGACUUGUUUUAAUGGCCGCGGUAUUAUGACCGUGCAAAGGUAGCGUAAUCAUUUGUCUUCUAAAUAAAGACCAGUAUGAAUGGCAAAACGAAAGCUUCACUGUCUCCCUAGCCUAAUCAAUGAAAUUGAUCUCCCCGUGCAGAAGCGGGGAUGUAAAUAUAAGACGAGAAGACCCUGUGGAGCUUUAAACUUUGUUUUAGGUUGGGGCGACCAUGAGGCAUAAUGCAACCCUCACGACGAAAACAAGAAGGACACUUCAAACAUUGACCCAAUAUUUGAUCAACGAACCAAGUUACCCCAGGGAUAACAGCGCAAUCUACUCAAAGAGUCCAUAUCGACGAGUGGGUUUACGACCUCGAUGUUGGAUCAGGACCCCCAAACAGCGCAACAGCUGUUAAAGGUUCGUUUGUUCAACGAUUAAAGUCCU
rnacentral:rRNA from 1 species